GAUGAAGAACGUAGCGAAAUGCGAUACGUAAUGUGAAUUGCAGAUUUCAGUGAAUCAUCGAAUCUUUGAACGCACAUUGCGCCCGCUAGUAUUCUGGCGGGCAUGCCUGUUCGAGCGUCAUUUCAACCAUCAAGCCCCAGGCUUGUGUUGGGGACCUGCGGCUGCCGCAGGCCCUGAAAACCAGUGGCGGGCUCGCUGUCACACCGGGCGUAGUAGAUUUUAUCUCGCUCAGGGCGUGCUGCGGGUUCCGGCCGUUAAAAAGCCUUUUUUACCCAAGGUUGACCUCGGAUCAGGUAGGAAGACCCGCUGAACUUAAGCAUAUCAAUAAGCGGAGGA
rnacentral:misc_RNA from 1 species